rnacentral:rRNA from 1 species
UGACCUCAAAUCAGGUAGGACUACCCGCUGAACUUAAGCAUAUCAAUAAGCGGAGGAAAAGAAACUAACAAGGAUUCCCCUAGUAACUGCGAGUGAAGCGGGAAAAGCUCAAAUUUAAAAUCUGGCAGUCUUUGGCUGUCCGAGUUGUAAACUAGAGAAGUGUUAUCCGCGCUGGACCGUGUACAAGUCUCCUGGAAUGGAGCGUCAUAGAGGGUGAGAAUCCCGUCUUUGACACGGACUACCAGGGCUUUGUGAUGCGCUCUCAAAGAGUCGGGUUGUUUGGGAAUGCAGCUCAAAAUGGGUGGUAAAUUCCAUCUAAAGCUAAAUAUUGGCGAGAGACCGAUAGCGAACAAGUACCGUGAGGGAAAGAUGAAAAGAACUUUGGAAAGAGAGUUAAACAGUACGUGAAAUUGCUGAAAGGGAAACGCUUGAAGUCAGUCGCGUUAUCCAGGGAUCAACCUUGCUUUUGCUUGGUGUACUUUCUGGUUGACGGGUCAGCAUCAAUUUUGACUAUUGGAAAAAGAUUAGGGGAAUGUGACAUCUUCGGAUGUGUUAUAGCCCUUGGUUGCAUACAAUGGUUGGGAUUGAGGAACUCAGCACGCCGCAAGGCCGGGUAAUCUUACCACGUACGUGCUUAGGAUG